AGUGAACGCUGGCGGUAGGCCUAACACAUGCAAGUCGAACGGCAGCACAGUAAGAGCUUGCUCUUACGGGUGGCGAGUGGCGGACGGGUGAGGAAUACAUCGGAAUCUACUUUUUCGUGGGGGAUAACGUAGGGAAACUUACGCUAAUACCGCAUACGACCUACGGGUGAAAGCAGGGGAUCUUCGGACCUUGCGCGAUUGAAUGAGCCGAUGUCGGAUUAGCUAGUUGGCGGGGUAAAGGCCCACCAAGGCGACGAUCCGUAGCUGGCCUGAGAGGAUGAUCAGCCACACUGGAACUGAGACACGGUCCAGACUCCUACGGGAGGCAGCAGUGGGGAAUAUUGGACAAUAGGCGCAAGCCUGAUCCAGCCAUACCGCGUGGGUGAAGAAGGCCUUCGGGUUGUAAAGCCCUUUUGUUGGGAAAGAAAAGCAGCAGGUUAAUACCCCGCUGUUCUGACGGUACCCAAAGAAUAAGCACCGGCUAACUUCGUG
rnacentral:rRNA from 1 species